rnacentral:lncRNA from 1 species
UUUUUAACAAAUACAUUUUAUUCCUUAGGGGAAAAAACCUCUUCCUCAGAUCUCACUCUUGUUUUGUAUUGGGAAGCUCCAAGCAACAGGAGUAAAGCUGGAUAAAGACAAAGAGGUUUAGAAAAGACAUGGAAAGGGAAAGAAAAAAGAAAGCAAAUGAUAACAAAAACCCUGAAUUUAUCAUCUCCAAAGGCAACACUGGGCCGCUGUUAAUUUUAGGAGAGAAGGACAAUUUUACCUUGAAUAACCGUUUCAAAUUGUCUCAGCAUGAGGAAUCCCAA